AAUACACCUCUCUGACAGUGGAGCGCUGUCAGUCCCUGUGUGUUUUGGGAUUUGAAAACUUGUGCCAUGCAAAAGGGCUGGGAGCCGCAUGCUGAGAAACAGGCCCCUAAAGCCUGCUGUGGACCACAGGUGGAGAAACUGCAAACCAGAUGGAUAUGCAAACCUGUUCUACAAUGAAUUACCUCCUUGGAAGCUAUAAGACAGCAGGACCGUAUUGGCGAUUUUGGAUAUGCGAAAAGAUAUUUCUCAUAAUUUAUCUUCAUUGUUUACUGAUGCAUGUAUGUAAUUGCAGUGGGGCAUAUGAUGACACAGACAAGAUGUGACCCUGCAUUAUAAAUUUUUUUAUAUUUUCCCAAUAUUAUGGUGUAUGCACUGUAACCAUAUAAAUUUAUGGAUAGUAUUUUUGGCACACAGCACUUGAGAGCGAGAUAUAAUUAUGCACACUUGAUAUAUAUUAUUUUUAAUACUGUUUUUGUAAAAAUUGAUGUAUAAUCAUGUAAUCACUUUGUUAAUUAUGUAUGCUAUAUAAGCACUUGAUUUUGCACUAUGUAUUAUGGCUUGACAAAGGCUCCAUGGAGUGAGCUGAAACGUUGCUGUUACCACAUAGGUGAUUAAAAUACCCUUUUUUCACAGA